UGUACGGGUACGGGGAUUAGGGUUCGAUUCCGGAGAGGGAGCCUGAGAAACGGCUACCACAUCCAAGGAAGGCAGCAGGCGCGCAAAUUACCCAAUCCCGACACGGGGAGGUAGUGACAAUAAAUAACAAUACGGGGCUCUUUCGGGUCUCGUAAUUGGAAUGAGUACAAUUUAAAUCCCUUAACGAGGAACAAUUGGAGGGCAAGUCUGGUGCCAGCAGCCGCGGUAAUUCCAGCUCCAAUAGCGUAUAUUAAAGUUGUUGCAGUUAAAAAGCUCGUAGUUGAAUUUCGGGAUUGACACAUCGGUCGUGCCUUAAGGGGUAUGAACUGGUGUAGUCAAUUUCUCACCUUCUGGAGAACCACGAUGCCCUUAAUUGGGUGUCGCGGGGAACCAGGACCUUUACUUUGAAAAAAUUAGAGUGUUUAAAGCAGGCAUUUUGCUUGAAUACAUUAGCAUGGAAUAAUAAAAUAGGACGGCAUGAUUCUAUUUUGUUGGUUUCUAGGAUCACCGUAAUGAUUAAUAGGGAUAGUUGGGGGCAUUAGUAUUCAAUUGUCAGAGGUGAAAUUCUUGGAUUUAUUGAAGACUAACUACUGCGAAAGCAUUUGCCAAGGAUGUUUUCAUUAAUCAAGAACGAAAGUUAGGGGAUCGAAGACGAUCAGAUACCGUCGUAGUCUUAACCAUAAACUAUGCCGACUAGGAAUCAGACGAUGUUAAUUUUUUAAUGACUCGUUUGGCACCUUACGGGAAACCAANNUUUUNGGNUUCA
rnacentral:rRNA from 1 species